rnacentral:rRNA from 1 species
AAUGAACGCUGGCGGCAGGCCUAACACAUGCAAGUCGAACGAGUGGCGGACGGGUGAGUCAUGUCUGGGAAACUGCCUGAUGGAGGGGGCUAACUACUGGAAACGGUAGCUAAUACCGCAUACCAUCGGAUGUUCCCAGAUGGGAUUAGCUAGUAGGUGGGGGAAAGGCUCACCUAGGCGACUAUCCCUAGCUGGUCGGAGAGGAUGACCAGCCACACUGGAACUGAGACACGGUCCAGACUCCUACGGGAGGCAGCAGUGGGGAAUAUUGCACAAUGGGCGCAAGCCGGAGGCAGCCAUGCCGCGUGUAUGAAGAAGGCCUUCGGGUUGUAAAGGACUGUCAGCGGGGAGGCGGUACCCGCAGAAGAAGCACCGGCUAACUCCGUGCCAGCAGCCGCGGUAAUUC